GGUGAACCUGCGGAAGGAUCAUUAGUGAAUUUAUCAUUAAUAUCUACACACACCUGUGAACAUGUACGGUUGGCUGGAUAGCGAAAGCUGUUGAAUGCCGACUGUUUAUUUUACAAACAUCAGUGUAAUGAACGUCAUUUUAUUAUAACAUAAUAAAACUUUCAACAACGGAUCUCUUGGCUCUCGCAUCGAUGAAGAACGCAGCGAAAUGCGAUAAGUAAUGUGAAUUGCAGAAUUCAGUGAAUCAUCGAAUCUUUGAACGCAACUUGCGCCUUUUGGUAUUCCGAAAGGCAUGCCUGUUUGAGUGUCAUGAAAUCUCAACCAUUAGGGUUUCUUAAUGGCUUGGACUUGGACGUUUGCCUGUCACAAGGCUCGUCUUAAAAGAGUUAGUACGGUGACCUGAUCACUUGUCUGGCGUAAUAAGUUUCGCUAAGGCUGAUCCAGUCAUAUGUACUUCUAAUCGCUCUCACGAGCAAUUUCUAUAUCUCUGACCUCAAAUCAGGUAGGGCUACCCGCUGAACUUAAGCAUAUCAAUAAGCGGAGGAAAAGAAACUAACAAGGAUUCCCCUAGUAACGGCGAGUGAAGCGGGAAGAGCUCAAAUUUGAAAUCUGGCAUCCUCAGGGUGUCCGAGUUGUAAUCUAUAGAGGCGUUUUCCGCGCUGGACUGUGUCCAAGUCCCUUGGAACAGGGUAUCAAAGAGGGUGAUAAUCCCGUACUUGACACAACCACCAGUGCUAUGUGAUACGCUUUCUACGAGUCGAGUUGUUUGGGAAUGCAGCUCAAAAUGGGUGGUAAAUUCCAUCUAAAGCUAAAUAUUGGCGAGAGACCGAUAGCGAACAAGUACCGUGAGGGAAAGAUGAAAAGCACUUUGGAAAGAGAGUUAAACAGUACGUGAAAUUGUUGAAAGGGAAACGAUUGAAGUCAGUCGUGUUCUUUAGAUUCAGCCGGUUCUGCCGGUCUACUUCUAUUGAACGGGUCAACAUCAGUUUUGUCCGGUGGAAAAAGGCAGGAGGAAAGUAGCUCCCUCGGGAGUGUUAUAGCCUCUUGUCGCAUACACUGGGUGAGACUGAGGAAUGCAGCUCGCCUUUAUGGCCGGGGUUCGCCCACGUUCGAGCUUUGGAUGUUGACAAAAUGGCUUUAAACGACCCGUCUUGAAACACGGACC
rnacentral:rRNA from 1 species